rnacentral:rRNA from 1 species
AACGAACGCUGGCGGCAGGCCUAACACAUGCAAGUCGAACGAAGUCUUCGGACUUAGUGGCGCACGGGUGAGUAACACGUGGGAAUAUACCUUACGCUGGGGGAUAACAUCGGGAAACUGAUGCUAAUACCGCAUACGCCCUUCGGGGGAAAGAUUUAUCGGCGAAAGAUUAGCCCGCGUCCGAUUAGCUAGUUGGUGAGGUAAUGGCGCACCAAGGCUCCGAUCGGUAGCUGGUCUGAGAGGAUGACCAGCCACACUGGGACUGAGACACGGCCCAGACUCCUACGGGAGGCAGCAGUGGGGAAUAUUGGACAAUGGGCGCAAGCCUGAUCCAGCCAUGCCGCGUGAGUGAUGAAGGCCUUAGGGUUGUAAAGCUCUUUCACCCACGACGAUGAUGACGGUAGUGGGAGAAGAAGCCCCGGCUAACUUCGUG